AGAACCAGGUGGCCCUUUUUGCCCAGGCCGCGGACAAGAACCAGAUUAGUUUUACCAGAUCCCUUCCGCCCCCCACCCGCACUACCGCGCCCAAGAGGAUUCAAAAGGGAGCGGCGGCGGCGAGAGGCCCGGCGCCGACCGCAACCCUAGCCCGAAUCAGCACUCGCCGGCCGACGCUUCCGGAGGGAGCCGCUGCGGCGGCCGAGGCCGACGACAAGGCGCGGCGCCCGUUCACGGCCCUCAGCCAGGUCCACGCCGACCUCAUCCUGGCGUGCGUCCCCCAGGAGCAGGCAAGCUGGCUAGAUCUCGCGUCCCCGGCGGUCCCGUUCCCGUCCCUGGGGUUCGGAGGAGAGGGCGGAUGAACGGAGGCGGCGAGGCCAGCGAUUAUGGGAGCUCGGAGGGCGCGCCUCGUCGUCGGCCUCAGCCAGGUCCACGCCGACCUAGCCCUGGCGAGCAAGUUGGCUAGAUCUCGCGGCCCUGGCCGUCCCGUCCCCGUAGCUCCCGCUGGGCCUGGUUGGCUGUUUGCUGAUUGGCCUGGUUACUAAUGUGCGUAGGCCACAACUCCAGGAUGCUAAAAUUGAGUGCGGUCACCACGCAUACAACCAAACAUAGCUACUGCAUGAAAUCACGAUCGUACGUGGUGGAGGCGGCAGCGGCAGCGAAUAGGUCAUUAGGGCAUGGCAGGGCGGCUGCCAUGGGCCGGCGAGGUGGUGAACAGCGACUCAGCGAGGCCGUGAGGGUGAGCAGAUCAGCACAUGGCGUCAAAAAGAAGAUCGAAUAUUUGUAUUAUGUUGCUGACUUCCGUCGAUUGAAAUUGUAUUAGAUCAAAUAUGGGUAUAUAAAGGAAUUGAUCUUGCUGAAAUUAAGAAAGAAUUUCAAAAUAUACCAAGAAGAAUGCCUUUGCCACAGUCAAUAAAGCUUUAUUAUAGGAAUGGAAAGGUCACAUGGUUGAGGAUCUAUGCUUGUUGUGGUUGCAGUCCUGUGGAUCAAGGUGUUGUUCUCGAGUGCUAGAGUAAUUUGGCUAUCCUGUCGGCUCCCAGCUUCCAGGUUCUAAUUAUAUGUGGUUCCAGUCCUGUGGAUCAACAUGUUGUUCUUGGGCUAGAUUAAUUUGGUUAUCCUAUCGGCUCCCAGCUUCCAUUAUAUGAGGACUUGGUGCUUUACUGUCGGUUGUUUUGUUCGGUUCUCUUGUUUUCUGAUUCUUUGCUUCAUGUGUUUCGCAUGUUGAUAUGCCUGUCCUUGUUAGGUUGCGUCGCUUGUGGCUCUGGGGUUUCUUGUUCCUCUUUGAUUAUGAUGUUUGUUGGCUGAUUCUAUUCCGUCUUGCUUUUUCAGGACUGUAUGUUGUUGGUUGGUCUGUGCUGUUCUUCUUUUAUCGUUUAUAGGUGGGACAUGCUCUUUACCCUGCAUUUUUAACAUCCAUAUGAGAUAAAGCAAAAAGGCAGAGACCAAAUAUAAGAGCUGAGGGAUAUGUGGAAGAGGGACGGGAUGAGCUUGAGGCUUACGAGCCAUUCAAAUAAUCAGACGUGCAUGGUUUCUUGAAUUUUCAAUUGUUGAACCUGUUAACCUGAAGAUUUUUUUCUUCUUUGCGGCAAACUCCAGGGUAAAAUAUAAAACAGAAUCUGUCACCUGAAGGCAUUCUGUCGAGGCCUUGCUCAGAGGUUGGAUGAUUACGAGCAAGAUGCAAGGACACAAAAAGCUUGGAAUGCAGAAAGGUUAGACGCGAGCUGCCGCUAGCGCACGGUGGCGUGCUGCAUCUCCCAUCGGUGCUUGCGACAGGAGAACUACAUCCCUGGCCUAUUCAUCUAUGCCUCAGCUGCUGCCUCUCCAAGUAAUGCCAAACCUAUAGGCUAUAACAGGUGUAUGGAUGCCGACAUUCAGACUGGUCAGCUAAGAGACCAGGACACGGAAUCUGGAGAGGUCCUUGGUCAUCAGCUGGUCCAUCAUGAGUGUAAGGUUGAUUUUGACAUGUAGAUGUUGAUGUCCCAAGCUGAAUUUCAAGAUACUCGUGGCAGCAAUUUCCCAUAGAAGUGUUGUGGUUUAGUUCGCUAUACUGUUAGAAUUACGCGAGGUGUGCGUGUAUCAUCGGGGUGGUGCUGAGUCAACUAAAAGUCAGAGGCGCUAAUAUGUGUGCAUUACCUACUGUUGUAUAUUUUUCAAUCAUGCACUCUGUUCUCUUAAUGAUUAACUGUGAAUGAAAUGGAUGAGGGCAAUAAUGUUCAUGUGCUAGAACAGAACUCUGGAAACUUGAAUGGAAAGAACCUUUAAAGCA